CUUGGUCAUUUAGAGGAAGUAAAAGUCGUAACAAGGUUUCCGUAGGUGAACCUGCGGAAGGAUCAUUACAAGUGAGGCUACCGAUCGUUGGAAACAGCGGUUAGGAGCUUACACCCACCCGUGUUUACAUACUAUUGUUGCUUUGGCGGGCCGUGGCCUCCACUGCGGGCUCUGCUCGUGUGUGCCCGCCAGAGAACCAAACUCUGGAUGUUAGUGAUGUCUGAGUACUAUCUAAUAGUUAAAACUUUCAACAACGGAUCUCUUGGUUCUGGCAUCGAUGAAGAACGCAGCGAAAUGCGAUAAGUAAUGUGAAUUGCAGAAUUCAGUGAAUCAUCGAAUCUUUGAACGCACAUUGCGCCCUGUGGUAUUCCGCAGGGCAUGCCUGUUCGAGCGUCAUUUAACCACUCACGCCUAGCGUGGUAUUGGGGCACGCGGUCUCCGCGGCCCUCAAAAUCAGUGGCGGCGCCGGUGGGCUCUAAGCGUAGUACAUACUCCCGCUAUAGAGUUCCCCCCGGUGGCUCGCCAGAACCCCCAAUUUUUUACAGGUUGACCUCGGAUCAGGUAGGGAUACCCGCUGAACUUAAGCAUAUCAAUAAGCGGAGGA
rnacentral:rRNA from 1 species